UACUGUAUAGAGAUUUUUGAGUAAACUCAAAUGAAAGCGUAAGGUGGUGACACAGUUUAACACAUGCAAAUAAUCAAAUAAACACAUUAGUCCUUUUUGUGAACAUGGAUAAAUAAGUAUCAAUACAGCAUUGUUCAGCCAUGCCACUAAAUGCUUUUUUACACAUUGUUUUAACCUGGGCUCAGACACAAAGUCCCAAAAUUAGUUAGUCCCUGACUUUGAGUUGUGGUUAUGACUAAUUAUUAUACACAAGGCUUUAUCUAUCUAAACUCUAAGGACACAAAUAUGAAAAAAAACUAUACUUACCAGCUGAUACCCCACACUACACACUAGGUGUGCCAUGUGACCUGAAACUUUGGUACAAAAUCAUCAUAAUCAUUCUGUUAACACUGUUUUUUAACACUGUUUGUGUUGCUGUUCAGCAGUUUAAAAUGUUUUAGAUUGGAUUACAUGGAAUGAAUUUGAAUUUUCUUGGGGGGUUUUGUGUGUGUUUUGUUCUUAGCAGAUUUUUUCUUCCAUACUGUUGAAUUCCAGUUACCACAUUUCUGGUCAUAUGACAUCCCGAGUGCCCAC